rnacentral:sRNA from 1 species
UGAUUCCAGCGUCUUAAAGUCUCUCGUUCGCGACGUGCGGGCACGGGAGCGGAAGAGAGACUUUAAGACGCGCCUCGGCAUGAGCAUGGAGGGGGAGCAGGACUCCCCCGGGAAUGCGAAUGACGGGAGCAUGCAGGGAGACGCGAAGCGGCGAAAGCAUGCGGGAAUCC